AAGACGGUGUGCGCGAUGAGGUCAUCGCGUGGUUUUUUAACCGCGCCGGCAGUCGUGAAGCAGACUGCUCGAAAGCCGGCUGUCUUACGUUCGUUUCUGCUCUCUCGUGAUUUUUCUAACUCCGGUGCCACGUGCCCGUAGAGCUUUUCCUUCUUUUCUUUUCUUUUUUUUUUUUUGUUAUCUCUCCUCGUUGUUUUUCUAUAUUUUUAUAUUAUUUCUUUUUCUCCCCCUUUUUCUAAAAUAUUAUAUAUCUUCCAAGUUCGCUAGUUCGCGAGAAUUAUUUGAAAUUAUAUAUAUUAGAUCGUUAUUAUUAUUAUUAUUAUUAUUUUUGUUUUUGUUUUAAUUAUAAUAAUACUUUAACAAACACACAAAAAAAGUAACAACAAAAGGAGGAGAAGAGAGAAAAAUAGAAACGAGGCGUAACAUCGUUAACAAAUGUCGUCCUUUUUUUGAAUCAUCGUUACAAGGAUCAUAAUUAAUCUUUAACCAGGAGCCUAGAGGUCCUGGACACGACAAAUUUUCAUUAACGGAUUACGACCGAGCAGAUCCACGAGUCAUAAAAUCGUUCUACACCGCUAGACACAUGACCGAUUUAAAGUUCGACCGGUCGAUCAAACGACGAACGUUUACGAGCUGCCAUAGAUUAUGUUUUAUCUACUUGACCGUUUUUAAUUUGGAAAUAAUGAAGAAGCGAGUCUAUGCGCACGCACACGUCGCUCGAUGUCGAUAGCUUUUCAGCAGAGCUCGUCGAGUUCGAUCCAAGAGGGUGGAGGUGGAGGAGGAGGAGGAGCUGGAGGAACUGGAGAAGGAGGCGGAG
rnacentral:lncRNA from 1 species